rnacentral:rRNA from 1 species
UACGUAGGGUGCGAGCGUUAAUCGGAAUUACUGGGCGUAAAGCGUGCGCAGGCGGUUCGUUAAGUCAGAUGUGAAAGCCCCGAGCUCAACUUGGGAACUGCAUUUGAAACUGGCGGGCUGGAGUGUGGCAGAGGGGGGUGGAAUUCCACGUGUAGCAGUGAAAUGCGUAGAGAUGUGGAGGAACACCGAUGGCGAAGGCAGCCCCCUGGGCCAACACUGACGCUCAUGCACGAAAGCGUGGGGAGCAAACAGG